UCCGGAGAUGUGGCUGUGCCAUUUCAGCUCGCUCACAUGGCAGAAAACUCUUCCCUUCUUUCUGUGCGUGUAUGGAUUCUACCAGGUUACUGUGCUGAACCAGCUCGGCGACAGGACGAAGAGGCGUGGAGUGGGAUUGCAGCAGUAAAUCCGUAGGCUGCUGUGGGAUUGCAGCCGGUGCCCCUCAUACAGAAGCCAUUCCCCAUCUUUGUUUUCAUCCUUCUCUGUAUCUUUUCUAUUUAUGCUUCUUUUCAGACGAAGUGGAGAAAACUACAUGCAAUAUUCAAGAUGUGGGUUUGCAGCAGCACUGUCCUGCUUUUGUCUUACUUUUGUUUUUUCUUACUAUUUCCAAACAUUCCGCGGGUUCCUUUUUACUGCCUGACCUGUUCUUUCCAAAGAGCUAUGAACGAAAGGUCUGAGACCUCUUUCCUGAGUAGAGUUGCUAUUUUCCCGGUGGAUACAUAUGGUGAGGGUUGCCUUCCAUGGGUGCAUCACUUUGCGUGUCCAUAUAUUAAAUUUCACUUGUCAUUUAUCAGCCUGUCACGUUAAAAGUGCUAUCAAGCGAUACGGCUGAGCUAAUCUAACAGCUUCUUGCUACCCAAACAGGUUGUGCCACUCACUCUUCCUUCCCUCUAUGCUUCCACCCUAGCCCUGGAUGCACAAUUCUCCCUCCCCGAUCUUUGUAUGGUUUUGUCACUGAUGGGACCUCACAGCAAAUCAAUUCAGCUCACUAAGCCAACAGAAAAGUAUUUCUUUUUCCUAAAGGUCUUCUGAAAUUCUUGAUUGCCAGUUUAAGAUUUGACUGUUCAGACAAAUUUUGUAUUAUCUGCCAACUGUCCUCAUGGCAUUAAACUUCUCCAUAAAAUUUCUGAAGAGGUUGAACAGCAGAGAUUUUUGUGGGUUCUGGAAACCGAUUGUGUAAUCUAAUGAUGAGUUUCGUUUCUUUUAGAUGUUUUUUUAUCCUUUUGCUUUUAUUCCAUAUGAAUACACUUCGCGAGUCUGUGGUGAAAGACCAGGUCAAAAGCUUUCUGAAAAUCCAGCUAUGUAAUGUUAUCAGAACGAUCCCGAUCUAUAUAAAAAUCACUCCUUGAACCUCUAAUGGGUUUGCAAAACAUGACAUCCUACUUGAUAUGCAAUGCUGAUUCUUCUCCAACAUGUCAUUCAGUUUAUUAAUACUAUUCUUUAUUAUAGUUUCCAGUAAGUUGCCUGGCACAGACAUCAAACACUUAUCUGGGUGAGCCCAGAAGUCCUUUUAACAGUCACAUUUUCCACCUUCCAUUCUUCUGGCACUGUAGCAUUUAAGGCAGAUUUAAGCAAUGAGUUGCAUAAAGCACCGGUUUCAUUUUCUUCAGAAUUCAUGGCUUUAUACCAUCUGACCUCAGCUAUCCCAGUGAGGUCUUAGGGAACAUAAAAAACAGGAUAGAAAAAUAAUGCAGAAAAUAUUAAAACAACAUUAUAUGAACUGCUUGUACUCUCAGCAUGUCCCAUUUUAGGCUCCCUUUUGUCUUUGAAGUAGUCCAGGCACAGAGCUUUCCAGAUGUAAAUCUGAACCUGUAGGAUUAGAUUCCAUUGGUUUCUAGGCACUAACCAGAAAUAUGCCCCAAAUUUAACAAAUUUCGAGAGAAGUGAUUAAAAAUACCACUAGAAGGUGUUUGUUAAAGACCAAAAAUAAAAAAAAAUAAUUUGCCAGGUAACAGAGCUUGAGUCAGUUAUUCCGAAUUCUGAUGAGUAUCGGUUGGUUCAUCUUCCUUACCUAAUCCCAAACCAAAAACCAAGGUAGCAUUUGCCUGUCAGUGCAAACCAGACAUCCCUGUGAGAGUAAGCAAGCUGAUUCCAUGAUCCUUGACCUGAAUGCCCUACAGGCUGGGCACAUGCCAAAUAUGCUCAGCACAUUGAGAUCUGGAACUUGCUGUUUAGUUGUGUGAACUACAAUUCACAGCCUGAUGCCAGGAAAUAAACUGGAGAUUUCAAGGACAGGAAGCGCUGAACUGUCGUCGUCCCCUCCGCGCCUGUCUUGGUUCCAGGUCAAUGGGAUUUCCUUUCAUUAGAGGUCAAAAUGAUGACCGAAAAUGACUUUAGGCAUCAGCAAAACCAAAUUGCUCACCUGGACAGUGGCACCCCCUCUGCGGCAAGCGAGGCCACGUGCAAAUUCCUGGGCAGAACGUGCCACCGUCCUCCGUGUGUGAUCUGUCAGACUAAAUGGCACUGAGCAAAAGCACCAGAACUCCUGCCCCAGCCUACGGUACAUCGUGGCUCCCUGUUCGUUAAAUACCGCUGCAGGUCAUCGAAGGGAUGAGGUGGGCAUGGAGGAGCAGAGGGUCUCUUUUCUGUGCAACCUGAGUCACCACGAUGCAGUUAGCACCGAGCACCGGGGAGGCAGGAAGCCCGACGAGGCUGUUUUAUUUUUCACGGCAAGAAGACGUUGCAGAGAAGGAGAAACUGGAAGAGGUCCUUACAUAACUGACUCUGCUUUUUACUUCUUACUCCCUUUGAAAGAAUAGCUUUGAAAAGAACAGCUUUGAAAAGAACAGCUUUGAAAAGAAUAGCUUUGAAAAGAAUAGCUUUG